UACGGAGGGGGUUAGCGUUGUUCGGAAUUACUGGGCGUAAAGCGCACGUGGCGGAUCAGAAAGUUGGGGGUGAAAUCCCGGGGCUCAACCCCGGAACUGCCUCCAAAAUCCUGGUCUUGAGUUCGAGAGAGGUGAUGGAAUUCCGAUGUAGAGGUGAAAUUCGUAGAUAUUCGGAGGAACACCAGUGGCGAAGGCGGCUCACUGGCUCGAUACUGACGCUGAGGUGCGAAAGUGUGGGGAGCAAACAGGAUUAGAUA
rnacentral:rRNA from 1 species